rnacentral:rRNA from 1 species
UGCAAGUCGAACGCAACCUUCGGGUGAGUGGCAGACGGGUGAGUAACGCGUGGGAACCUUCCCUGUGGUACGGAACAGCUCCGGGAAACUGGAAUUAAUACCGUAUACGCCCUUCGGGGGAAAGAUUUAUCGCCAUAGGAUGGGCCCGCGUCGGAUUAGCUAGUUGGUAAGGUAACGGCUUACCAAGGCAACGAUCCGUAGCUGGUCUUAGAGGAUGAUCAGCCACACUGGGACUGAGACACGGCCCAG